AUUGAACGCUGGCGGCAGGCUUAACACAUGCAAGUCGAACGAGUGGCGGACGGGUGAGUAAUGCUUUGGAAUCUGGCUUAUGGAGGGGGAUAACUACGGGAAACUGUAGCUAAUACCGCGUACCAUAGGAUGAGCCCAAGUGGGAUUAGGUAGUAGGUGGGGUAAAGGCCCACCUAGGCGACGAUCUCUAGCUGGUCUGAGAGGAUGAUCAGCAACACGGGGACUGAGACACGGCCCAGACUCCUACGGGAGGCAGCAGUGGGGAAUAUUGGACAAUGGGCGCAAGCCUGAUGCAGACAUGCCGCGUGUAUGAAGAAGGCCUUAGGGUUGUAAAGUACUUUCAGCGGGGAGGCGUUACCCGCAGAAGAAGCACCGGCUAACUCCGUGCCAGCCGCCGCUGUAAUUC
rnacentral:rRNA from 1 species